UUGAAACAUCCUCUAUUGAAUUAGGCUUUCAACCAAGUUCACUGGAGUUUGUUUCAAUA
rnacentral:pre_miRNA from 1 species